rnacentral:lncRNA from 1 species
AACCAUAAAUCUCAAUGCGAUCAAAAUAAAUGCGAAAAAUAAAAAUCACACCGAGAUUUACGUGGAAAACUCCAACUAGGAGAAAAAACCACGGGACCAACACGCGAUAACAAUCCACUAAGAAUAAAAGAUUACAAGAUGAUUUAUUGAUUCUACGGACUCAAACCUCUCUUUUAUCUUCUCCGGAUCUCGCGCACACCGACGGGUUGUCCCCCCCCCCACGUCCGAAUCUACGAACGCCACGUCCCGAAUCCACGAAACAUCCACACUUCGAAUCCACGAAGCCUUGAUCACGCCGAAUCCAUGACGCCCACUCGAAUACACG